CGACGAUAGUAAAAAAAUUUGUGGUGAUAAAGUCGAACUUGAUAAAAAAUAGCCCUGAUAAAAAUCCCAAAACAAAUGACAUACCAAAUAGUGAGACAGUAAGUGAAAUACCAAAUAAGAACAAAAUAAAACAAAAAAAGAGCUACGAUAAUUAUAUUACGUAUGACGAUUUUGAAAAAAUAGUUGUUAGUAUUAAUGAUAUAAAAAAACAGCUAUUAAGAAUAGAGGAAGGCAUAUCGAAAACACAAAUAAAAUAUACAUUCAAAUCAUUAAGUAUUUUAUGUGAUGAUGGUAAAUAUAGAAUGAAUUUAGAUUGUUAUAAGAGAGCAUUGAAAUGUAAUGAGUUUUUAAAAUUGCUAGGUAUUCACACAGAAGUAGCAGAUAGCUUUAUUCAAAACGACAAUAUAUAUAGAAUAAAAAAAAAUAAAUUUCUGAAAAAUAAAAAAAGUAAAGAUAUGGUAAUAAGUGUUGAUAAACCAGAACAACUUACAUGUAAUACCAAGAAAUUCCAAGAAAAAAGUUGUACCAAUAUAAUCAAAGAUAGUCAUAAUAAAGAUAAUAUAAAAGACAGUAAUAAUAGUUAUUUAAAAAAAAAAAAAAAAAAAAUUAUUAACAAAUGCAACGGAGGUGAUAUCCAUAUAAAUAAUAGUAAAUCGGUAAACGAUUUUACGUUACAUGUGUAUAACGAAAACAAUAAUAAUAUUUAUAUAAAUAGUAAAAAGAUGCACACAUCACUUACUCAUAUAAGUACAAGUAAAUACAAUUACUCAGAUAAAAAACAGAGUAAGCAUAAUGAUACACAUACACAUGGUAACAAUGGACGUAAUAGUAGUCAACAAAGUAGUAAACUUGAAAGAUGGAAUCGGGAAAAUAAUGUAAACGGUCACAUUAAACAAGUUGAAACUUAUUUAAGUUUGAAUAAAACAAAAGAAAGUAAAAUGAAGGAACCUAAAAAUUAUAACAACAAUAAUGUUAGCACAAAUAGUAACAUAAACUUUAAUCCGAAUUGGGAAACAGAAAUAAAAAUAAAAAUAUCGGACGAAUUUAGGACACACUGUGUAUUAAGCAAAUCUGAACCAACCAUAAAUAACAAUAUACAAAAUAAAAAUAUGAAAAUAUUAAAUUUGCAUAUGAUGAAUAAGUAUAAUAAUAUGAAUGAAAAGUUGAAUAAAAAAGAAGAAUCAUUUAAUUUUAGCGAUAAUCUUAGUGAAAAUAGUAAUAAUACCAAUGGCAGUAAUAAAAAUAGUAAACAAAAAAAAUCGACCCAUAACUGUACAAAUAAUAUAACAAAUAGCAACAUGCUAACUAGCCACUCCACCAACACAACUGGCUACGAGAACAAAAACAAUGUAAACAAAUACAACUAUUUGAAACAUUCAAAGUUUUACGAAACUUCGAGUAAUACAAAUAAUGACACGUUUUGUGGCAGUAUUGAAACGGGAGCUGGAGCUGGAGCAGGAGCAGGAGCAGGAAUAGGAGUAGGAGCAGAAACUGGUACUCUUAUUUAUACUGUCUCAGGAACAGGUAUUGAUACACAUACCCCGAUAGUUUAUGACAACCUAAACUUAGUGCAACACAAGAACUGUUUCCUUAAUCCUAGUAGUAGUAAAAUAUAUUUAGAAUACUACUCAGAAGAAGACAUGCUAAGUCAAAAAAAAAAUGUCAUAUGCAAAGAAGCAUUUAAAAAUAAGUUUAAAAAAAAAAUGAACAUACAUGUGAA
rnacentral:lncRNA from 1 species